AUUGAACGCUGGCGGAAUGCUUUACACAUGCAAGUCGAGCGGCAGCACGGGGGCAACCCUGGUGGCGAGCGGCGAACGGGUGAGUAAUACAUCGGAACAUGCCCAGUCGUGGGGGAUAACACUUCGAAAGAAGUGCUAAUACCGCAUACGUCCUGAGGGGGAAAGCGGGGGAUCGCAAGACCUCGCGCGAUUGGAGUGGCCGAUGUCAGAUUAGCUAGUUGGUGGGGUAAAGGCCUACCAAGGCAACGAUCUGUAGCUGGUCUGAGAGGAUGAUCAGCCACACUGGGACUGAGACACGGCCCAGACUCCUACGGGAGGCAGCAGUGGGGAAUUUUGGACAAUGGGGGCAACCCUGAUCCAGCCAUUCCGCGUGAGUGAAGAAGGCCUUCGGGUUGUAAAGCUCUUUCGGCAGGAACGAAACGGUGAGCUCUAACAUAGCUUGCUAAUGACAGUACCUGAAGAAGAAGCACCGGCUAACUACGUG
rnacentral:rRNA from 1 species